UUGCAAGUAAGAUGGUGCAGUCAUGGAAACCAUGAGAAACCCUGGAACUUGGGAUUCAAAACUAAGACUCAAGAGAGUUAAUUUUUUCUCUACUAGGAAUUGGGAAUAUGCUCUAGAGGAACUAAGCUGAGCUGUGAAUCUUAACCUCUUCCCCUCUCCAGAGACUGAAGUAGUUCAAGUGUAUGUGUGGGGAAGAGAGGAAAAUGGCAAAUCUGACCACUGGCUUUGCCAAGAAAAACCUGUGGACAAUAUGGAAGACUUGGACACAGGACACAAAUAAACAGAAAUAGCAAAGAUUAAGUCUUUACUUCUGUUAUGAGGGCUUGCUGAACCUUUUUCGUCAGGCCUGCUCAUACAAUUGUCACCCAACUCUCACCUGUGGCUCCAAGAAGUUGUAACAAGUAAAACCGCCAUACCCCACCAAAAUCAUCUUAGAAUAUGGACUGAAUAUGGCUGAGGUAACUGACAUGCCUCAAACCUAUUGGUGAGUUAAGGGUUGACUACCUCAAGCCUGUGAAGACUCCCCCCAGUAGAUGAGAACAAUCUAUUCUAAAGGCCACAGAGAUGGCUGAAGCAGAUGCUGUGAGCACUUCACUUAAAGCUUGAUCAGGUAUCAAAGAUGUCAAGGAUAUCCACUGCUUCCUUUUGUAUUGCCAUAAUACUUUAAUGAUGCUGGAAGGGAGAGAAAUGCUAAUGACUCUGUACAACUAUGCUUCACUUAAAUCCAGUUCACACACAAGUCAAGACAUCACCCAUGAUGUUAUUGGAUCUCUUCAAAAACAGAAGACAGUCUUCCAAGUUAUCCAGAAGCAUUAGCUUUUCAGUAUAACACAUGUAAUUUGACUUACCACAAAAUUAAUACAUAAUUGACUUAAAGAUCAACAUUGUCUAGCAUUUUAAAUAAAUUCAUUUAUUAAAUGCAUUAACCAGGUUUUCAGCCCAGUCUGGGGCAUUUUGCAUGUUAUAGUAUAUGUGGAAGAAGAUAUGACUCCAGAAGAGUGAAGAGAAAUUUGAAAAGUUGCAUAAGGGGUUUUGCAGAGAUGAUAUCAAAGCUUCUUUGGGAGAGAGAUGAGGUGAGAGAAGCAGUAGACAUAUAAGAGAAUCAUCUUUUUGUUUCUAGCUUGCUUCCCUAGAGACUCCUGGAAUAGACUUCCUUGGAUAAGAUUGGGUUCUCUUGUUUUAAACGAGGUUUCAUAGCAGUACCAACUAAAGAAUUCAUUCACUCUUAUAUAUUUUCUGGGAUACACUAAUCUGUAAAACUUUUUCAAUUUCUGUUGGUUAAUCAUUUCUAAUGGAGCAGUA